CACUAACCAACUUCAAUGCACAAAAUAGAUAUCACAAAUACCAUUCAUUCAGGACAUAUAGUAUAAUAACCAAAUGAACGUAAGCCAUAAUCAAACAAAACCGUAAUAAAGCAUUGAAGUUAGGCCAUUUUCGCAUGGCCUAAAUUAUACAAAACCAAAAUCCAACAUUUCAAAUUACAAUCUAGCCUAUACAUGUCAUAGGUUCGAAAAUUCAGCUUAUAAAAUACCGAAGACAGUCGAUAGUGUGAUAAGCUUCUCUGACGAUUCUCGAUCUCGAAACUUGAAUCCAAAAUCUAUAAAACUGAGGUAAACAUGAACACACACAGAGUAAGCUUACAUAGCUUAGUAAGUCAUAAGCAAAUAAACAACUUAGUUACAUAAUUAAAUCAUAUAAACUAAACCAAAUUUUACUAUCAUAGUUACUUUAAAUCUUUAAGCUUACAAAUUCAUGUAUUUUAUAUUUACUUUCACUUGUAUAUUAUUCAUGGCCGAAUGAACAUAUAUAUAUUUUAACAAACUAUCAUUCAAUUUCCAAGCCAAAAUAUCUUUAUCAUAACUAGUACAUAUAUUUUUAUAUGCAUAAAUUCAUAGGUCAAAGGAUAAUAAUCUCAUACAUAUUUAUAUUGUAUGGCCGAAUACACAUACAUAUAUAUAAGAAAAAUAUCCUUCAAUUUCAAAGUUAAAUAUCAUUAUGUGAGCACAUAUACUUACACUCAUGAAUCAAAAUACAGCUUCUUAUGCAUAAGCAUAGUAAUGACCGAAUGAACACUUUUAUAUAUAAAGAUACAUUAACAAACUAUCAUUCAAUGACCAAGCUAAAACAUCUUUAUCAUACCAAAUACACAUACACUUAUAUGCAUACACUCGUAAGUCAAAGUGUAACAAUCAUAUAUAUAUUUAUAUCAAUGGCCGAAUAUACCACCAAUUGCAUAUAUUCAAAAAUAAUUUCAAUAAUGUUCAUAUUAUUUAUUUACAAGGACGAAUACCUUUUUCACAUUCACAUAUGUUCUUACUUUACUUCAAGCAUGUUUUGCAACAAAUAUUAAGUAACUUACUCACUUAGUUUCAAAUAGGUAAUAAGCCAAUUCAUACCUGACCAUUGUAGCUCACUUUUGCACAUUUGAUCUCAACUUAUCGAUGCCCGUUGAACCAUUCGAAAUUGGAUAGGACACUCGGAUAGUCACACAUAUAUCGUACAAUGCCAACGUCCCAGACGAGGUCUUACAUGUAACCACAUAUCGAUGCCACUGUCCCAGACAGGGUCGUACUCGCACACAUAUAUCGAAGUCACAUAUCGAUGCCAUGGUCUUACUCGCACAUCACAUAUCAAAAUCCUAUGUCAUGACAUAUGUAUCCUAACUAUUCCUAAGGUUCAUACGGGGCUUUCGGACGCCGUAACUCGGUUAACGAAUGCUUGAACAUGGUUACCAAGUUUAUUCAAAUUCGGCAUAAGCAUAUAUAAAUUCAUAUUUUUCAUUCCAGCAUAUAUGUUUAGCAUUUAUCUACAAUUAAACACAUCUAUUUGCCUAUAAACUUACCUCGGACGAUGUAAAACGGAACGGGACAACUAGUCAACAACUUUCGUUUUUCUCCGAUCCAAAUCCGAUUUCUUUGGUUCUUGAUCUAAACAUAUUCAAAUUAAGUUCAUUCAAACAUAUUUUCAUUCAAUUUAGUCCAAAAACACGUAAAUGGCCAAAUUACCAUUUUACCCCUGACUUUUACACUUUUUACAAUUUAGUCCCUAUUGAACAAAACACAAAACAUUCAAAAUUUCAAGAUACCCAUGUUUGGCCGAAUAUUCCUAGCGUUCAUACAAGCCCAUAUAUUUCAUUUAUUUCACACUUUAGUCCCUAAAAUUAUUAUUUUUGCAAUUUAAUCCUAAUUACUCAAAAUCAUCAAAAACUCCAAUACAAAAUAUGUUAAUCUAAAACAUAUCUUUCAUAUUUCAUCAACAAACAACAAAAAUCGCAAACUAUUAACAAUAGCACAACUCAAAAUAUUCAUCAAAAUAAAAAAUUAAAGCUUGGGUCUUGAAGAUUAUUAAGCAACGAUCUCAAAAACGUAGAAAUUAUCAAAAACCGAGCUAGUUACAUACCUUAAUCAAGAUCAACCAUGGCCGAACCAUCCAAGCUUUUUUUCUUUUUCUUUCUUGUUUUGAUAUUCGGUGAUGAAUUUAUGAAAGGAAAAAUGUAUGACAACUUAUUAUAUGUUUU
rnacentral:lncRNA from 1 species